rnacentral:lncRNA from 1 species
AAUUCCCAUGUUUAAAUGAGCAAAGUAUAGAAAAGGAAAGAAAAGAAGAAGAAACAGAAGAGAAAACAGCAGUAAAAAGCAGAAAAUACAAAUCAUGUGCAUGUGACGACCGUCACAAACCCUGUCAUAACCGUCACGCCCUGGGUGUCACGACCGUCACAAGCCCACCACGACCGUCACAAGGCCAAAAAGCAGCGUAUUGAAUUUGUCAGCAGAAGUGAUCCACACGCCCUUAUUUCUCGUUACUCGGCCCAUUUUCCCGUGGAUUUCUCACUCAACCAAGUCACCCUUAUUUCUCUCAACUGCCA